rnacentral:rRNA from 2 species
AUGAACGCUAGCGGGAGGCCUAACACAUGCAAGCCGAGCGGUAGAGAUUCUUCGGAAUCUUGAGAGCGGCGUACGGGUGCGGAACACGUGUGCAACCUACCUUUAUCAGGGGGAUAGCCUUUCGAAAGGAAGAUUAAUACCCCAUAAUAUAUUUGAUGGCAUCAUUAGAUAUUGAAAACUCCGGUGGAUAGAGAUGGGCACGCGCAAGAUUAGAUAGUUGGUGAGGUAACGGCUCACCAAGUCCAUGAUCUUUAGGGG